AUUGAAACACUGGUUCCAUACAAUCACCAAAGUUAAGCAACGUUGAUCCUGGUCAGUACCUAGAUGGGUGACUACUUGGGAAUACCAGUUGCUGUAAG